CGGACUAUAACUAUUACACACACCACAACGUUCAAGUCAUGUUGUAGCUUUGACCACGUUUAUCCCGGCGUCCAGUACACACGCGGUAAUGUCAACAUUUAUUAUUUGUUCUGCGCUCAGCUAGACUCUUUCUUCACAGCCACGUGUUACUGUCUUACCAAGACAGCAGACGAGACAGAGAGAGUGGGCAGACGUGAAUGAGAAAUCGACAUCCUUCGUAACUGCGAGACAGAUUUUUAACGGACCUGCCUACCAUGACCAAGGUUUGAUUAUCAUUGGUGGAUUUUCACAGUGACGCGUUCCCUCAUUAUCAUAAGUUGCUGUAUUAAAGUCAAAGUGACAGCCGACUGAUCGUCAGAGGUUAUAGAUUUUAGCAGAAGUGCCUGUAUUGUUUCGAGGCAUUAUGGGAAACCCGGCAGAUUUGUCCGACACCGAAGAAGAGCAUCGAGAACGAGGCUCCCAUGGGAAAGUUACGCUGUCACUUCUUGUGGCAAUAUUCGGAGCCGCCAUGGGUUCGUUUCAGUUCGGCUACAACACGGGGGUGAUCAACUCGCCAGAAGCAAGAAUCAAGGACUUAAUGAAGAGCAACGCUAUGCGACGCACUGG